UCCCGGCCACAACCGCAGCGUUAGAACCUCGGAGCCAGAUGAAGAGGAACCACCAGGGAGCGGGUGGCUCUGGCUCCGCAGGCUGCGAGGCUGCGAGGCCCGGGACUGAGGCCGCUGCCCGCGCCUAGACCACACCUAAGUGCAGACACCUGCAGGGGGCAGGAAAGAGGGUAUUCCCCAGGACCCUGGAAUCCCAGUGCUCCCCAAAACACAGCUGGGAAGAGCCUCGGGUGAAACAUCACGGUACUCUUUAUGUGCUCCUCUCAGUGACCCCAUUCCAACCUGUGUUUUAAACACACAACAUCUUCUGGGGUUUCCACUCGUUUUCUAUAAUAUCUGUGCCACGCUUGAAUAACAACAUGCCACAGACCUUCAUCUUAUUGAAAGAAGAAACCAGAAUGUUGGGGGCUGCCCAAAUAAUGAUUGGUCUGAUUCACAGUGCUCUGGGACACGUCUGGACGCUUUUAUAUAUGAGACAAUUGCAUUCGUUUUCCAAAAUAUACCGGCCUUUUGUAUUGCUAUCAGGAUACCCAUUUUGGUCAUUUGUAUUUGGGCUACCUCAGAACUCCAGUGAAAACUGUGUAUUUCAGUCCAAUCUCUCUCAAACUUCAAUUAACUAUUAGGAUGGACUUCAAGAAUGUUAUUGAAGUUAUGAGGAAAUCUCCUGGAUGAAACGCACCCUAAGAUGGACCAUCGGCAGUUUGGGCGUUGCUCUGAUUGGUUUAUUUCUAAUUAUAAUUGAAAUCACAUCAUUUUUAGUGAAACAUGUAGAGAUUCAAUGGCCACAGCGAAGUGGGAUGAUGCUCUCCGUCUAUCUGUGGAUAUUUGGACUCUUGGAGAUGUGCCUGGCAAAUAUCGUGGUUAAAUGGCUGAAUGAAGCAUUCUAUCGAAACAUCUACAGUGCAUAAUGUUCACAGCACAGGGAAUCCUUUGCAUGAGGAUUACUAAAGAACAAGAAUCAUCAUGACCUCGGUCCAGGAUGAAAAUGUGUAACUAGUGAAUGAAGAAAGAGCACCGCUGUUCUGCCCAAGAUACUUUCUAGAAGACAUGUGUUGGUGGGUGAACUCUGUCCAAAAUGUUCCUUUUUCUCCAUUCUAUGAAUAAAAAUCAGAAUGGCUGAC